rnacentral:rRNA from 1 species
AGUGAACGCUGGCGGCAGGCCUAACACAUGCAAGUCGAGCGGCAGCGGGUUCCCGCGAGGGGAUGCCGGCGAGCGGCGGACGGGUGAGGAACACAUCGGAAUCUGCCUGGUUGUGGGGGAUAACGUAGGGAAACUUACGCUAAUACCGCAUGCGACCCUGAGUCGACGGACUGGGGGUGAAAGUGAGGGACCUUCGGCCGUCACGCGACCAGAUGAGCCGAUGUCGGAUUAGCUAGUUGGCGGGGUAACGGCCCGCCAAGGCGACGAUCCGUAGCUGGUCUGAGAGGAUGAUCAGCCACA